rnacentral:rRNA from 1 species
AGUGAACGCUGGCGGUAGGCCUAACACAUGCAAGUCGAACGGCAGCACAGGAGAGCUUGCUCUCUGGGUGGCGAGUGGCGGACGGGUGAGGAAUACAUCGGAAUCUACCCUGUCGUGGGGGAUAACGUAGGGAAACUUACGCUAAUACCGCAUACGACCUACGGGUGAAAGCAGGGGACCUUCGGGCCUUGCGCGAUUGAAUGAGCCGAUGUCGGAUUAGCUAGUUGGCGGGGUAAAGGCCCACCAAGGCGACGAUCCGUAGCUGGUCUGAGAGGAUGAUCAGCCACACUGGAACUGAGACACGGUCCAGGCUCCUACGGGAGGCGGCAGUGGGGAAUAUUGGACAAUGGGCGCAAGCCUGAUCCAGCCAUACCGCGUGGGUGAAGAAGGCCUUCGGGUUGUAAAGCCCUUUUGUUGGGAAAGAAAUCCAGCUGGCUAAUACCCGGUUGGGAUGACGGUACCCAAAGAAUAAGCACCGGCUAACUUCGUGCCAGCCGCCGCCGUAA